rnacentral:tRNA from 1 species
CGGGCGGUGGCCGAGGCGGACGGCGGCGACCCCCGCGCGUUCACCCGGCGCGUGGUGGGCGCGACCAUGCCACGGAUCGUGGCCGUGCUGGUCGU